AUAUCAAUAAGCGGAGGAAAAGAAACUAACAAGGAUUCCCCUAGUAACUGCGAGUGAAGCGGGAAAAGCUCAAAUUUAAAAUCUGGCGGCUCCGUCGUCCGAGUUGUAGUCUGGAGAAGUGCUUUCCGCGCUGGACCGUGUACAAGUCUCUUGGAACAGAGCGUCAUAGAGGGUGAGAAUCCCGUCUUUGACACGGACUACCAGUGCUUUGUGAUGCGCUCUCAAAGAGUCGAGUUGUUUGGGAAUGCAGCUCAAAAUGGGUGGUGAAUUCCAUCUAAAGCUAAAUAUUGGCGAGAGACCGAUAGCGAACAAGUACCGUGAGGGAAAGAUGAAAAGCACUUUGGAAAGAGAGUUAAACAGUACGUGAAAUUGCUGAAAGGGAAACGCUUGAAGUCAGUCGCGUUGUCCGGAACUCAACCUUGCCUUGGCUUGGUGCAUUUUCUGGAUAACGGGCCAGCAUCGAUUUUGAUCGUCGGAAAAGGGCUGGAGUAAUGUGGCACCUCCGGGUGUGUUAUAGACUCUGGUCUUACGGCGGUUGGGAUCGAGGAACGCAGCGCGCCGCAAGGCAGGGGUUUACCCACUAUCGCGCUUAGGAUGCUGGCAUAAUGGCUUUAAACGACCCGUCUUGAAACACGGACCAAGGAGUCUAACAUGCCUGCGAGUGUUUGGGUGGAAAACCCGAGCGCGUAAUGAAAGUGAAAGUUGAGACCUCUGUCGUGGAGGGCAUCGACGCCCGGACCUGACGUUCUCUGACGGCUCCGCGGUAGAGCAUGUAUGUUGGGACCCGAAAGAUGGUGAACUAUGCCUGAAUAGGGUGAAGCCAGAGGAAACUCUGGUGGAGGCUCGUAGCGAUUCUGACGUGCAAAUCGAUCGUCAAAUUUGGGUAUAGGGGCGAAAGACUAAUCGAACCAUCUAGUAGCUGGUUCCUG
rnacentral:rRNA from 1 species